ACCAACUGAUAAAGCAGUAACCUGAGAAGAAGAAGAAUUCCCGUCACAGUUAUCACCAAACAAUUGGUUCAGAUGAAUUACGAAUUAAAAUAGGGAAAUGAGAGGAGACCGUGUUUGCAUCCAUCUCGAUUACUCUGACUACGAAACGUGGCCGCGAUUGAGUGAUGAAACUUCUUCGGGAAAUUACACAUGACGAUUUGAGAGGGCAGCCUAGUAAUGGAGAUUGUAGACUUGGAACCGAAGCUGCUGCUGCUGCUACGGCUAAUUGCAUUUCGUUUUAGAGUUUGUGGUGUUGUUUACCAAUUUGGGUAUGGCGGGCAAUGAAUGAACGGGGAAGAAGGAUGGAUUCUACUUCUUCUUCUCUAGAAGUGAUUGCUUUGCUGUCAUACGCUCCAUCCCACAGCCACAAAUUACACGUGGAUGUUAACAAUGGAACAUUUUUUUGUGAAGACGGCCCAAUAGCGUCAUUCACCAAGGCCCAUACAGACAGAACAGGC
rnacentral:lncRNA from 1 species